rnacentral:rRNA from 1 species
CACGAGUUUGAUCCUGGCUCAGAUUGAACGCUGGCGGCAGGCCUAACACAUGCAAGUCGAGCGGGUUUCGGGCUAGCGGCGGACGGGUGAGUAAUGCGUAGGAAGCUACCCGAUAGAGGGGGAUACCAGUUGGAAACGACUGUUAAUACCGCAUAAUGUCUACGGACCAAAGUGUGGGACCUUCGGGCCACAUGCUAUCGGAUGCGCCUACGUGGGAUUAGCUAGUUGGUGGGGUAAUGGCUCACCAAGGCGACGAUCCCUAGCUGGUUUGAGAGGAUGAUCAGCCACACUGGAACUGAGACACGGUCCAGACUCCUACGGGAGGCAGCAGUGGGGAAUAUUGGACAAUGGGCGCAAGCCUGAUCCAGCCAUGCCGCGUGUGUGAAGAAGGCCUUCGGGUUGUAAAGCACUUUCAGCGAGGAGGAAGGGUUAGUAGUUAAUAGCUGCUAAUUUUGACGUUACUCGCAGAAGAAGCACCGGCUAACUCUGUG